rnacentral:rRNA from 1 species
UUUUACAAUGGAGAGUUUGAUCCUGGCUCAGGAUGAACGCUAGCUACAGGCUUAACACAUGCAAGUCGAGGGGAAACGACAUCGAAAGCUUGCUUUUGAUGGGCGUCGACCGGCGCACGGGUGAGUAACGCGUAUCCAACCUGCCCACCACUUGGGGAUAACCUUGCGAAAGUAAGACUAAUACCCAAUGAUAUCCCACGAAGACAUCUGAAUGGGAUUAAAGAUUUAUCGGUGAUGGAUGGGGAUGCGUCUGAUUAGCUUGUUGGCGGGGUAACGGCCCACCAAGGCGACGAUCAGUAGGGGUUCUGAGAGGAAGGUCCCCCACAUUGGAACUGAGACACGGUCCAAACUCCUACGGGAGGCAGCAGUGAGGAAUAUUGGUCAAUGGGCGAGAGCCUGAACCAGCCAAGUAGCGU